AGCACUCCUACGGGAGGCAGCAGUGGGGAAUAUUGCACAAUGGGCGCAAGCCUGAUGCAGCCAUGCCGCGUGUAUGAAGAAGGCCUUCGGGUUGUAAAGUACUUUCAGCAGUGAGGAAGGUGGGUAUGUUAAUAGCAUAUUCAUUUGACGUUUAGCUGCAGAAGAAGCACCGGCUAACUCCGUGCCAGCAGCCGCGGUAAUACGGAGGGUGCGAGCGUUAAUCGGAAUUACUGGGCGUAAAGCGCAUGCAGGUGGUUUGUUAAGUCAGAUGUGAAAGCCCGGGGCUCAACCUCGGAAUUGCAUUUGAAACUGGCAAACUAGAGUACUGUAGAGGGGGUAGAAUUUCAGGUGUAGCGGUGAAAUGCGUAGAGAUCUGAAGGAAUACCGGUGGCGAAGGCGGCCCCCUGGACAGAUACUGACACUCAGAUGCGAAAGCGUGGGGAGCAAACAGGAUUAGAUACCCUGGUAG
rnacentral:rRNA from 1 species